AAUGAACGUUGGCGGCGUGGAUUAGGCAUGCAAGUCGCGCGAGAAGUUUCCUUCGGGAGACGGACAGCGGCGGAAGGGAGAGGAAUAAGUAGAAAUCUGCCCUCGGGACGGGGAUAGCGGCGGGAAACUGCCGGUAAUACCCGAUAACAUCUUUGGAUCAAAUGGUGUGAUUCCGCCUGAGGAUGAGUCUACUUCCUAUUAGCUAGUUGGUGUGGUAAUGGCUCACCAAGGCAACGAUGGGUAGCGGGUGUGAGAGCACGAUCCGCCUCACUGGGGCUGAGACACUGCCCAGACACCUACGGGUGGCUGCAGUCGAGAAUCUUCGGCAAUGGGGGAAACCCUGACCGAGCGACGCCGCGUGCGGGAUGAAGGCCCUCGGGUUGUAAACCGCUGUCGUAAGGGAACAAAUCUAAGAGGGUACUCCCUUUUAGUUGAGUGAUCUUAGGAGGAAGGACGGGCUAAGUUCGUGCCAGCAGCCGCGGUAAUG
rnacentral:rRNA from 1 species